rnacentral:ncRNA from 1 species
AACAGGCUUGUAGGCAACCCGUCUGAUCAAGGCUUCACGCCAUGUGCGGACGUUAAACCCGUACAGAAAUCUAUUCCAAUCUACUACCUAGCGAAAACACAGCCAAGGGAACGGGCGGGGGAAUUAGCGGGGAAAGAAGGCCCUGUUGUGCUUGACUCUAAUCUGGCAGUGUAAGGAGACAUAAGAGGUGUAGAAUAAGUGGGAGUUCAUUUCGGGUUCAUUAUCGCCAAUGAAAUACCACUACUCUUAUUGUUUCCUUACUUACUUGAUUAAGUGGAACGUGUAUCUGUCAUUAUAUGGAUAAUGAUCAAAGUACGAAAGACUUUGUUAUAUAAUUGGAAACAAGUUUUAAUGAGAUUGUUUGGCAUUUCGAUGCUUAUUCAAUCAAUAUUUAGAAUUAGGUAUAACUUCCAAAACUCAGGUAUGGUUAAAAUUCAAUCAUUUGCUAGGUAGGGAGUUUGACUGCGGCUGUACAUCUCUCAAAUAACGAAGGUGUCCCAAGGCCAGCUUAGUGCGGAAAGAAACCGCACAUAGAGCAAAAGGGCAAAAGCUGACUUGAUCUCGGUGUUCGGUACAGGCAGGGACAACAGACGGUACAGACGGGGAUAACUGGCCUGUGACGGCCAAGAACUCAUAGCGACGACGCUUUGCGAUUCUCUCAUGUCAGCUCUUUUUAUGAUUGUGAAGCAAAAUUUCCCAAGUGCUGGAUUGUUCACAAAUCCAAGGGAAUGUGAGCUGGGUUUAGACCGUCGUGGGACAGGUUAGUUCUAUCCUACUAAUGGAAAUAUAUUGCUCCGACAACAAUCCUGUGUAGCACGGAAGGAACCGCAGUUAUGGACCAAAGGCACAAUACUUGUUCGAGCGAACAGUGGUAUGACGCUACGUCCGUUGGAUUAUGCCUGAACGCCUCUAAGGUCGUAUCCGAGCUGGACUGCUAUGAUAAAAAUGGGGCAAUUGCAUUGUAUGGCUUUUAAAGCAUUUAAAGUUUAUCAUUUUCUUAUGAUAAACGACAAUGGAAUGUGCUGACAAUGUUUUAUUGUAACACAACAAAUACAGAAAAAUAUUAUCACAUGUAUGUCGCGUUAGUUACGUUUAAAAACAUUAUUUAAUGCAAUGGCAAUGCCUAGAAUCAAUUGUAAACGACUUUUGUAACGCGCAAGAUGUUGAAAGUGGUAGAGCAGCUGCCAUACUGCAAUCCACUGAAGCUCAUGCUUAGUUUGAUGAUUC